rnacentral:rRNA from 1 species
UACGUAGGUGACCAGCGUUGUCCGGAUUUACUGGGCGUAAAGCGCGCGCAGGCGGUCGUUUAAGUCGAGUGUGAAAGCCCCCGGCUCAACUGGGGAGGGUCAUUCGAUACUGAUCGACUCGAAGGCAGGAGAGGGAAGCGGAAUUCCCGGUGUAGUGGUGAAAUGCGUAGAUAUCGGGAGGAACACCAGUGGCGAAGGCGGCUUCCUGGCCUGUUCUUGACGCUGAGGCGCGAAAGCUAGGGGAGCAAACGGG